rnacentral:rRNA from 1 species
GAUGAACGCUGGCGGCGUGCCUAAUACAUGCAAGUCGAGCGAACGGACGAGAAGCUUGCUUCUCUGAUGUUAGCGGCGGACGGGUGAGUAACACGUGGAUAACCUACCUAUAAGACUGGGAUAACUUCGGGAAACCGGAGCUAAACCGGAUGAUAUUUUGAACCGCAUGGUUCAAAAGUGAAAGACGGUCUUGCUGUCACUUAUAGAUGGAUCCGCGCUGCAUUAGCUAGUUGGUAAGGUAACGGCUUACCAAGGCAACGAUGCAUAGCCGACCUGAGAGGGUGAUCGGCCACACUGGAACUGAGACACGGUCCAGACUCCUACGGGAGGCAGCAGUAGGGAAUCUUCCGCAAUGGGCGAAAGCCUGACGGAGCAACGCCGCGUGAGUGAUGAAGGUCUUCGGAUCGUAAAACUCUGUUAUUAGGGAAGAACAUAUGUGUAAGUAACUGUGCACAUCUUGACGGUACCUAAUCAGAAAGCCACGGCUAACUACGUG